UUGCUUCUUUCAAAUCUAGUGGCAAACGGGUGAGUAACACGUAAACAACCUGCCUUCAGGAUGGGGACAACAGACGGAAACGACUGCUAAUACCGAAUACGUUCCUUAGGUCGCAUGACUUUAGGAAGAAAGGGUGGCCUCUACUUGUAAGCUAUCGCCUGAAGAGGGGUUUGCGUCUGAUUAGCUAGUUGGUGAGGUAACGGCUCACCAAGGCGACGAUCAGUAGCCGGUCUGAGAGGAUGAACGGCCACAUUGGGACUGAGACACGGCCCAGACUCC
rnacentral:rRNA from 1 species